CAAAGGUAGCAUAAUAAUUUGUUUUUUAAUUGGAAACUAGUAUGAAUGGUCAUACGAGGGAUUGACUUUCUUUAUCUUACUUAAAUUAAUUUUAUUUUUCUGUGAAAAAGCAGAGAUUUCAUUAGUAGACGAUAAGACCCUUUAAAACUUUAUUCAUUAUAGAAGUAUAAUUUUGUUAGGUUUUAAUAGUGUACUUUUUUAAUGAGUUUUGUUGGGGCGACAGGUAAAUUUAUUUAACUUUAUUUUUGUUUUUCACUAAUUAGUGUUUAUUUGAUCCAAAUUUAGUUUUGAUUAUAAGUUUAAGUUACUU
rnacentral:rRNA from 1 species